UCCUCAAAUUACCACACAAAAAUUUAUUAUCCCAUCUUUUUCUUGGAAAAUCAGGUCACAGAUAGAAGGAAAAUAGAGAAAAGGAGGGAUGAGGGGAGGGUGUAAUCGACUAACCCUUGACUAGUCUCGUCAACUUGUGGCCGGUCUUGCCGAAUAAGUACAGAGUAGCGGUGAAGCAGAAAAGUGAGACUGCGACUCGCUCUCUGCUGUGCUCGCUGGAAGAGAAAGAGAGAGAUUAGAGAUGGCAUGAGCAACGGAGGAACGAUGACAAGAAGCUCUGGUUUGUGCGACCUGAGCUUAGAUUAUCGGAAAUGCAAAAAGAAAGGAGAAAGAGGAUUGUUUCGAUCGAUAAGCCCCUCUGUCUCUCUCGCGCCAUUUGAAUAAGAACGAAAGCAGAAAGCGAUGGCCAGAGAUGCUGUAGCUGAUGUGAGGUAGUCAAAUCGGCGGAGCUUUGAGCUAUGGUGAACGAAAAACAAAGGGGAUAGGAUAAGGGGGAGAAGGGAUUUUGGGUUAGUUGCUGAUUUGUUUUGAUUUAGAUUUGAUUUAGCUCGAUUCAUGAAUUUUUUUUGUUGCAUAUUCAACGUGGCAAAAUUAAUUGUGACUUAGAAUUGUAAUUUUUCAAGU